AUUGAACGCUGGCGGAAUGCUUUACGCAUGCAAGUCGAGCGGCAGCGCGGCCUUCGGGCUGGCGGCGAGCGGCGAACGGGUGAGUAAUGCAUCGGAACAUGCCCAGUCGUGGGGGAUAACACUUCGAAAGAAGUGCUAAUACCGCAUACGUCCUGAGGGGGAAAGCGGGGGAUCGCAAGACCUCGCGCGAUUGGAGUGGCCGAUGUCAGAUUAGCUAGUUGGUGGGGUAAAGGCCUACCAAGGCGACGAUCUGUAGCUGGUCUGAGAGGAUGAUCAGCCACACUGGGACUGAGACACGGCCCAGACUCCUACGGGAGGCAGCAGUGGGGAAUUUUGGACAAUGGGGGCAACCCUGAUCCAGCCAUUCCGCGUGAGUGAAGAAGGCCUUCGGGUUGUAAAGCUCUUUCGGCAGGAACGAAACGGUGGGCUCUAACAUAGUCCGCUAAUGACGGUACCUGAAGAAGAAGCACCGGCUAACUACGUG
rnacentral:rRNA from 1 species